rnacentral:rRNA from 1 species
GACGAACGCUGGCGGCGUGCCUAAUACAUGCAAGUAGAACGCACAGUUUAUACCGUAGCUUGCUACACCAUAGACUGUGAGUUGCGAACGGGUGAGUAACGCGUAGGUAACCUGCCUGGUAGCGGGGGAUAACUAUUGGAAACGAUAGCUAAUACCGCAUAAUAUUAAUUACUGCAUGAUAAUUAAUUGAAAGGUGCAAUUGCACCACUACCAGAUGGACCUGCGUUGUAUUAGCUAGUAGGUGAGGUAACGGCUCACCUAGGCGACGAUACAUAGCCGACCUGAGAGGGUGAUCGGCCACACUGGGACUGAGACCCGGCCCAGGCUCCUACGGGAGGCAGCAGUAGGGAAUCUUCGGCAAUGGACGAAAGUCUGACCGAGCAACGCCGCGGGAGUGAAGAAGGUUUUCGGAUCGUAAAGCUCUGUUGUAAGAGAAGAACGGGUGUGAGAGUGGAAAGUUCACACUGUGACGGUAUCUUACCAGAAAGGGACGGCUAACUACGUG